GAGAGACGUCUGGUCCAGGAGCGUCUGAGCAGUCUGCAGCGGGCUGUCACCCAGCUGGAGAGCGAGAAGCUGGAGGCUGAGCGAGCCGCGACCCGCGUGGAAAGGGACCGCACGGCGGCGAAGAGGGCCUUAGAGAAGGCCGAGAGCGAGAAGCUGCGGAUGGAGGGAGAGACGCGCCACCUCUCCAUCGAGCAGCAGCGUCUCAAUGAGACUGUGUCAGCCACCGAGAAGGAGCUGGGUUCCACCAAGCACAAACUCCAGGAGCUGCAGACUCAACUGGCUGAGAUAAAGAGCUGCCACAAUCGCGAGAUUGCUAAAGUCACAUCCAGAGGACAAACUGAACUGAAGGGGGAAGUCGACCACUUACGCCUUUCCAACAGACA